CUCCAUAGCCCUAGGUUAAUGUAAAAUUUAGUAUAUAAGUUCAACCAAUUGAAGCUUAAAUUCAAACCCUAAGUUUACCUCAACUGAAAAUACCAAACAUGAAAUUUCUAGCCAUCUUUUUGUUCUUCGCUCUGGUUGCCCUCUCUUUGGGAAAGCCCCAACCAGCUGCUGAAAAUCCUCAACCUGAAGCAGCCGAAUCGAAUGAUUCGAAUCCCUCAAAUCCACCAGCUGAUAGCGAGAGUCCAGUACGUUUUGGAGCCGAACCUUAUCGUACUGCCGAUGGUACUUGGGGCAUUAAGUUUACCUUUUAAAAUUGAAUCGGAAUGGAAAUGGGGAUAUUGAAUUGAUGACAAAUGUGGAUAUAUAUAUUUGAGUGGGAAAUGACGUACAUAUAUUAUAUAUAUUAAGGAAAUGUGUAAAUAAAUGUAAACAGUGUAUAACAUAAUUAAAAAAAAAAAAAAAUAAAUAUAGGAUCCUAUUUUA